CCCCGAAUUGAUAACUGGAUGGAUUGAUCGGUGUUCAGUCCCUUUCUGUCUUUUAAGUAUUCGGGAGAGCAAUUUGGAAACGAUUCUUACACGAUCCUGAUACUUCUAUUAUCCUGACCGUUUACUUUUCCUUUACAUUU
rnacentral:snoRNA from 1 species